CCUCGGGUGGCAGCAGUGAGGAAUAUUGGUCAAUGGGCGGGAGCCUGAACCAGCCAAGUCGCGUGAGGGAAGACGGUCCUAUGGAUUGUAAACCUCUUUAGGCGGGGAGCACUGCCGGGCACGCGUGCCCGGAGGGAGAGUACCCGCAGAAUAAGCAUCGGCUCACUCCGUCCCAGCAGCCGCGGUAAUACGGAGGAUGCGAGCGUUAUCCGGAUUUAUUGGGGUUAACGGGGGCGUAGGCGGAGUUUUAAGGCAUCGGUAAAAUGUCCGGGCUCAACCCGGGCCGGCCGUUGAAACUGGGGAUCUUGAGUGGGAGAGAAGUAUGAGGAAGGCGUGGGGUAGCGGUGAAAUGCAUAGAUAUCACGCAGAACUCCGAUUGCGAAGGCAGCAUACCGGCGCACGACUGAAGCUGAGGCACGAAAGCGUGGGGAUCGAACAGGAUUAGAUACCCCUGUAGUC
rnacentral:rRNA from 1 species